CCUCUUUCAGAGGAAGAAAUAGUGUCUUAUAUGUUGGCAGGACUUAGCUAAGAAUAUGAUCCUCUUGUCACAAGCAUCACAACUCUCACUGAUCCUAUCACUAUGAGUGAUCUUUAUGCUCACUUAUUGAGUUUUGAGU